rnacentral:rRNA from 1 species
CACGUAGGGCGCAAGCGUUGUCCGGAAUUAUUGGGCGUAAAGAGCUCGUAGGCGGUCUGUUACGUCUGCUGUGAAAACCCUGGGCUUAACCCUGGGCUUGCAGUGGAUACGGGCAGACUAGAGUGCGGUAGGGGAGACUGGAAUUCCUGGUGUAGCGGUGAAAUGCGCAGAUAUCAGGAGGAACACCGGUGGCGAAGGCGGGUCUCUGGGCCGAUACUGACGCUGAGGAGCGAAAGCGUGGGGAGCAAACAGG